CCAAAAGAUCUUAGGUGACUUCAGUCAAGUUAAUCAAGUGGCAGCAGCACCAACAGAGAGCAUAAUUAUCAGAAUUGCUCCUCUAGAACCUGAAGGAAGAGUAAAUACUUUAAGAGAAAGCAGCUAGAUGGCAAGAGAGGCAGAAACCAUCAAAAGUUAUCAGAAUUUGUGCUUUUUAGUUAGGUAGAAGAUUUUUUUUGAUUUUGAGCACAAUUCAUGCCUUUAGCCACUUGAGAAAAACAAAUAACUCAUUUUUUUUUGUCUUUCGUUUUUGCCUGUAUCACAAAAGUGUAUACAGAGAGAAUAUAUCUCACGAGUUCAUCAAAGUUCUUUUUGCAAAUACAUGUUUAACGGUGAAAUGUGAAUUAGUCUUUUUUAUCCAAAAACAUUAAGAAUCAUCUACAACCAAAGACUGAUAAGUGCUAGUUCAUGUAUGCUUAUGUGACACAGUCACUACACAGAAUCAAAGAGUCAGUAGACAGAAUAAAUGGUUUCUGGUAAUGAAUGCCAAGGUUUUUGUGUAGUAGUGUUUUGUCUACAUGAUGCAUAUACGGUGCAGACCUGGUCACGUGUAUGCUUGAUAGUUAGAAAUGCAUAAAGUUAGUGAAGAAACAAUGCAUCUAUCAACUUGACUCGACCCACUUAAAUACUACCUAUAUGCCUAAAAACACCAAUUCACAAAUGAGUCAUCAAGAUAGCCUAUACCAGACGAUUCUUCAUCGUAAUGAUAAAGAAAAACUAUCAUUGCCAGAGGAAAGUGAUAUACUGAUAUGGACCCAACCCACAAUAAGAUAAGCCAACUGAUCUUAGUUUAUAGGUAAAAUUCAGAACUAAAGCUAGUUUGGGGGAUGCAUCAUCUUGUAAGGUUCUUAACUGCCAGUCAAGUGAUAAACCUACUAUCCUAUGGGAAUAGCCUUGACACAAGACAACCUAUGCCACGAUAUAUUAUCGAAAAUUUAGAGUUGUUCUGUAGUAGAUAGGUAUACCCACAGGUCACAUACAAAAAAUCUGAAUGAGGAGAAGCAUCCAAUUAUUGUCAUCACAAGUGUCUCUUGCUCUACUCCGACAGUUGAUACCUCAAAAUAUACUCACCCUAUCAUUUAUCAUAUACUCACCUUCCGACUAGAUUUAGUAUACUCAAAAUCUAUUACUUUUCUGUCUUUUCUCCCCAACAGGCGCUCAUCAUGCAUACACUACCUAGUGCAAGAUGUUGUCAUGAUAAAAUGAACCAAGAAAAGGCUAAGCCUAAUGAUUCAGAUAUGAAAAGAGAAACAGAACUAGAAACUUGGCCACUUUGACUCUCUGUGAUAAAAAAAAAAAAAAAUCGUGCAAAUAUAAGAUAACACAUGGAGUGAUCAACUAGAUAUAUAGCUAGAUAUCAUAGUUAUUUUCAUAGAUUCUCAAGAUAUCAGAGUCCGAAUCCUGAUAUGAGUGACAUCAGACAAGCUGGAAUCCACAACCCAUUGUAAAAAAAAAAAACUACUAAUAACUUGAUCUAGUUAAGGACCACAAGUUAUAACUACGAGAUUUUGGAGAUCCUGUAAUUUAAAAGGGAGCAACAUGUCAUAAACAAGGUUAUCAAAACAAAAGACAUGUCAUAUACAAGGUUAUCAAAACAAAAGACAUGCCAUAAAUAAUGAUGGUUCAAAUAAGACUUAAGAUCCUAGGCAUUUCUGAUUGGAUUAGAGACAAAAUAAAGUGUAGGAAAGUUCAAUUUAAUAAGCAAAUCCCGGCUUAAAAGAAAUGGGAAUUUAAUAGUGAGUGAGGCCGUGCACAAAAAGAAAGGGUUAUUGGUUAAUAACAGAAGACUGUGGUUAACAGGUAGCAUAUCUGCAUUAAGCAUCUGUGGGAUAUCCGAUCAUAUCCAAUAAUAUACCAUUGAGAGUGUAAAAACUACUACAAAGUAACUUUUAAGUGCAACUUUUAUCCGUGAUAAAUUGCAAAUCUAGCUUAAGUAAUGCCCUUACCAAAACAGCUUAUAGCCUGAAACAGUAUAACUCUCUCAAUAACUGAGGGCUUUCUAGAAAUUUGCCAUGAAUCUACUACUGGAACAACCAUAAGGGAUCAAUGCAGUUACCAAAUCAUUAUAGGAAAAGUUACAUUCCCAUUGCAAUUAUGAUAAUGUUCUUUUGCUGGGUGAGAACUAUUUUCUCUACUAUUGACAGAGUUAAAAGUAGGACAGUGUAAAUACACAAGCACUAGAGGAUAAUGAUAGCUUUGGAAGAUAAUGUAUAGAAAUACCAUUUAAGUGCUUUAAGAAAAUUCUGGCCACUUGUUGAUCUAAAGACCUCAAUCAAUAUGAUAAGAUUCAUGUCUACACUUUUUUCUAAUAUAAUACAUGUAGUAGCUAAUAAUUCAAAUAGAGAAAGUUUGGCAACAUACCGUUAGAAAGCAAAAGGACUGUACACAAAAGGCUGUGCCUAUUCAUCCUCAAAAUGAAAUUCCCUACAUUGUCAAAACAUAACAGAAACACAAAAACAAAGAGAUAUUUAGUAGGAAUGAUGAACAAAUAGAUAUUUACUUAAAAGUUCAUUAAAAGAUUGGAGAAUGAAUGAUUAAAUAAUUGUUCAACCAAAGAAAGUCAAUAAUGAUACAUAUAUGAUUGAAAACACAGGACUGAAGCUCUUUGUUUCAGUAUUUUAACUUUCUAGCCAAAGUGUAAUCUUCCUACCACUACGUCAUGAAAGCAUCCACAGAAAAACUCUUACUUGACUAUUCUCAUUUCUCACCAAGUAGCGUUAUUUUCACCUCAACAGAACCAUUUAUAUGAAGACAUGUAGCUACUUGGUAGUAUAAAAAAAGAAUGAAUGGCAAACUUAAAAAACAUAUUAUAAUGAAUAUAAAGUGAAAUCCAUCUCAUCAGAUAUCAAUAAUCAAUACAAGACAAACUGAUAAACAGAGUUUUUUUUUAACAUAAAGUGACACCAAAAGAACUUAUUUAAAAACCAAUUUCCCUACACAAGCAUCUUGUGGUUGGAGGUGGUCUGGGCCAACGACACAAUCAGCACUCAAGGAUUAAGGGAAUUGGAUAAGCUCUUUCUGGGUCCCAAAUACUCUCAACUCUCAUUUGAAAAAAGAAGAAAGACCACUUUUUAAAACAAAAUUAUUAGUGUCCAAUUAUAUAAUUCUCAGUCUCCACUAAGUAAUCAGUAAGCAUCUCAAGGUAUAUAUAAGACCACAUUGAAUUCCGCAAAAAUUUAAGAAGCAAUAACCAAAAAAAGCCAAGCAAAGGAGAGAGAGGAAAUUCUGACUUAAAGCGUUUUUCAAGAGUAAAAAAUGUCUGCAAAUGAGUUACCUUCUUCAGCUCAGUCCUUCCAACAACAAUUCCUUGGCGGUUUUGUCUCUAGAAAGCUUCUUCUGCACAACCCAUUUGACCAAAACUCUCAAC
rnacentral:lncRNA from 1 species